AGCCCGGUGGUGUAGCGGCCAAGCAUGGCGGGCUUUGGACCCGCAGAUCCCGGGUUCGAAUCCCGGCCGGGCUACCA
rnacentral:tRNA from 1 species